UUUGAUGCAGGUGAGCAACAAAAUGGAUCCCAAUGAGCUUGUAAAGCUUGUGGAGAUCCUGAAUCCCAACAACAAACCUGGAAGAAUCACUGUGAUUGUGAGAAUGGGUGCAGAGAACAUGAGAGUUAAGCUUCCUCACCUGAUCAGAGCAGUGAGGAGGUCAGGCCAGAUUGUGACAUGGGUCUGCGAUCCAAUGCAUGGAAACACCAUCAAAGCACCUUGCGGUCUCAAAACAAGAGCCUUUGACUCUAUCCUGGUACACACUUGAUAAGCCAAACCUUCCAUCAGCAUAACAUAUAUAUACUUAGUUUUUGCAUAUAGUUAUAGUUGUUUUUUUUUAAAACAGGCUGAAGUGAGAGCCUUCCUUGAUGUGCACGAGCAAGAAGGAAGCCACGCGGGAGGUAUCCAUCUAGAGAUGACAGGACAGAACGUGACAGAGUGCAUUGGAGGGUCCCGUACUGUGACAUACGAUGACUUAAGCUCACGCUACCACACACACUGUGACCCGAGGCUCAACGCUUCUCAGUCUCUUGAACUAGCCUUCAUUGUUGCUGAACGGCUGAGGAAGAGAAGAACCGCUACUCAGCGUCUCUCUUAAGUUGCCAUCUUCUUUUCUCUCUUUUGUUUUUGUGAGUUUGGUGUCUUUAUGACCUGCCUCUUUAGGAGGAGUAAACCUUGCUUGAACCUUGUUACGUUUUGCUCUCUGCCCAGACAAUCUCACGUCUUUGUUGUUUCAAUUUAAUGUUAAAACUGUAUGAAUGCUACUACUGUAAACUCCUCCUUAUUACAUAUAUAUAUAUACAGUAUCUACCAACUUGGAACUCGUUCAGUGUGACUAACCUCGUUACUCAACAAGGCCCAUUAGCUCAGUUGGUUAGCGCGUCGUGCUAAUAACGCGAAGGUCGCAGGUUCGAAACCUAAAUCCCAACAACAAACCUGGAAGAAUCACUGUGAUUGUGAGAAUGGGUGCAGAGAACAUGAGAGUUAAGCUUCCUCACCUAAUCAGAGCAGUGCGCAGGUCAGGCCAGAUUGUGACAUGGGUCUGCGACCCAAUGCAUGGAAACACCAUCAAAGCACCUUGCGGUCUCAAAACAAGAGCCUUUGACUCUAUCCUGGUACACACUCUUCCAUCAGCAUAACAUGUGUAUAUACUUAGCUUUUGCAUGUAUUUAUAAUCUUUUUUUAAACAGGCUGAAGUGAGAGCGUUCCUU
rnacentral:lncRNA from 1 species